UAAUACAGAGGGUGCGAGCGUUGUCCGGAAUCACUGGGCGUAAAGGGCGCGUAGGUGGUGGCUUAAGCGUGCGGUGAAAGCUCGGGGCUCAACCCCGAGUCGGCCGUGCGAACUGGGCUCACUGGAGCAUAGUAGAGGCAGGUGGAAUUCCGGGUGUAGCGGUGGAAUGCGUAGAGAUCCGGAAGAACACCGGUGGCGAAGGCGGCCUGCUGGGCUAUGGCUGACACUGAGGCGCGACAGCGUGGGGAGCAAACAGGAUUAGAUACCCUGGUAGUCCACGCCGUAAACGAUGGGCACUAGGUGCUUGGGGGAGCGACCCCCUGGGUGCCGGCGCUAACGCAUGAAGUGCCCCGCCUGGGGAGUACGGCCGCAAGGCUG
rnacentral:rRNA from 1 species